GACGAACGCUGGCGGCGUGCUUAACACAUGCAAGUCGAACGAUGAUGCCCAGCUUGCUGGGUGGAUUAGUGGCGAACGGGUGAGUAACACGUGAGUAACCUGCCCCUGACUCUGGGAUAAGCGUUGGAAACGACGUCUAAUACUGGUUAUGACUGCCGGCCGGAUGGUCUGGUGGUGGAAAGAUUUUUUGGUUGGGGCUGGACUCGCGGCCUAUCAGCUUGUUGGUGGGGUAAUGGCUCACCAAGGGGACGACGGGUAGCCGGCCUGAGAGGGUGACCGGCCACACUGGGACUGAGACACGGCCCAGACUCCUACGGGAGGCAGCAGUGGGGAAUAUUGCACAAUGGGCGAAAGCCUGAUGCAGCAACGCCGCGUGAGGGAUGACGGCCUUCGGGUUGUAAACCUCUUUUAGUAGGGAAGAAGCGUAAGUGACGGUACCUGCAGAAAAAGCACCGGCUAACUACGUGCCAGCCGCCGCCGUAA
rnacentral:rRNA from 1 species